rnacentral:rRNA from 1 species
GACGAACGCUGGCGGCGUGCUUAACACAUGCAAGUCGAACGGAAAGGCCCUGCUUUUGUGGAGUGCUCUAGUGAACAACGGAUGAGUAACACAUGAGUCACCUGCCCUUGACUUUAGAAUAACUUCAAGAAGCUGGUGCUAAUACAGGAUAGCACCUCCUGCUGCAUGGUGGGGGUAGAAAAGCUUCGGCGGUUGAUGAUGGACUCGCUUAUUAUCAUCUUGUUGGUGGAGUAGUGCCUUACCGAUGUUAUGACGGGUAGCCCGCCUGAGAGGAUGACCGGCCACAUUGCUACUGAGAUACCGACAAUACUCCUACAGGAGGCAGCAGUGAAUAAUAUUGCACGAUGGGAGGAAUCCUGAUGCAACACCGCCUCGUGCAUGAUGACCGUCUUCGUGUUGAAAACCGCUUUCUGCUGUGACGAAUCGUGAAUGACGGUGAUGAAAAAAGAACCACCUACUAACUACGUGCCAGCAGCCGCGAUGAUACGUAUGGUGCCAGCGUUGUCAUGAUUUAUUGGGCGUAAAGGGCUCGUAGGUGGUUGAUCGCGUCGGAAGUGUAAUCUUGGGGCUUAACCCUGAGCGUGCUUUCGAUACGGGUUGACUUGAGGAAGGUAGGGGAGAAUGGAAUUCCUGGUGGAGCGGUGGAAUGCGCAGAUAUCAGGAGGAACACCAGUGGCGAAGGCGGUUCUCUGGGCCUUUCCUGACGCUGAGGAGCGAAAGCGUGGGGAGCGAACAGGCUUAGAUACCCUGGUAGUCCACGCUGUAAACGGUGGGUACUAGGUGUGGGGUCCAUUCCACGGGUUCCGUGCCGUAGCUAACGCUUUAAGUACCCCGCCUGGGGAGUACGGCCGCAAGGCUAAAACUCAAAGGAAUUGACGGGGCCCCGCACAAGCGGCGGAGCAUGCGGAUUAAUUCGAUGCAACGCGUAGAACCUUACCUGGGUUUGACAUGGAUCGGGAGUGCUCAGAGAUGGGUGUGCCUCUUUUGGGGUCGGUUCACAGGUGGUGCAUGGCUGUCGUCAGCUCGUGUCGUGAGAUGUUGGGUUAAGUCCCGCAACGAGCGCAACCCUUGUUCACUGUUGCCAGCACGUUAUGGUGGGGACUCAGUGGAGACCGCCGGGGUCAACUCGGAGGAAGGUGGGGAUGACGUCAAGUCAUCAUGCCCCUUAUGUCCAGGGCUCCACGCAUGCUACAAUGGCUGGUACAGAGAGUGGCGAGCCUGUGAGGGUGAGCGAAUCUCGGAAAGCCGGUCUCAGUUCGGAUUGGGGUCUGCAACUCGACCUCAUGAAGUCGGAGUCGCUAGUAAUCGCAGAUCAGCAACGCUGCGGUGAAUACGUUCCCGGGGCU